rnacentral:rRNA from 1 species
AGACGCACUCGUGUCAGCCGCCGCGGUAAUACGUAGGGUGCGAGCGUUGUCCGGAAUUAUUGGGCGUAAAGGGCUCGUAGGCGGUUUGUCACGUCGGGAGUGAAAACUCAGGGCUCAACCCUGAGCCUGCUUCCGAUACGGGCAGACUAGAGGUAUGCAGGGGAGAACGGAAUUCCUGGUGUAGCGGUGAAAUGCGCAGAUAUCAGGAGGAACACCGGUGGCGAAGGCGGUUCUCUGGGCAUUACCUGACGCUGAGGAGCGAAAGUGUGGGGAGCGAACAGGAUUAGAUACCCUGGUAGUCCACACCGUAAACGUUGGGCGCUAGGUGUGGGACUCAUUCCACGAGUUCCGUGCCGCAGCUAACGCAUUAAGCGCCCCGCCUGGGGAGUACGGCCGCAAGGCUAAAACUUAAAGGAAUUGACGGG